rnacentral:sRNA from 1 species
AUAACGGUAUUAAUAAAAAAGGGAGGAAUGGAACAAAGAAUAGAAAAAAUAUUAAAAUAACCAAAACUGUUAUUUGUUUCGUUAAAAAUCUCGUUGCAAUAUUAAACCAUUUUGCGAAAUUUCGCUAACUUCCUAACACUUUAUAUAUUCGCAUAAUUGCAUUUAUUUUCUAAUAUUUUUUUUUACCUGACCGUUGGUUUAAUAUAUUCCAGCGAAUUCGUAUUGCGAUAUUAAUCGAUUCGGGUAAUUUUCCGCCAAUAUUGUUUCCCGAAUUUUUACCACGUGUUCCAAAAACUGGACGGUUUAUUAUAUUUAACCGUUAAUUUAAUAUGCUCCAAUAAAUAUAUGUUGUAAUGUUAAUCGAUUAGGGUAAUUUUCCGCCAAUAUCGUUUUUUCAAUUUUUACCACGUAUUCCAAAAAUUUGACGGCCCGUUAUAUUUAACCCUUAGCCUGUAAACAUUUUCCAACCCAAUAAUUUAAAUUGCCUUUUUCGCGCCAACCAGUUUUAUAUUUUUCGUUAUUAUAAAUCGCCUCGAGCACGUGGGGCAAAAUUUGUCGCCAUUUUUUACGUUUUUCCCACCUAUUUAUUAAAAAAAUCCUGCUAAAAUAAAUUAGUACAUCCUGUUUUUAUUUCCUGGUAUUACCCUGCCUGUUUACUUAUAUUUAUAAAACGAAAUAUACCAAAUAAUAUAUAUUAUAUAUAGUAUUAUUCCCCUGUUUUUUUAAAAAUAAAUAAUUAUAAAAAAUUCCGAAUUCCAUAUUCCGUUUUAACUCCGACCCAAUUGGUGGUAAUAUCGAUAACGGUAUUAUUUUAAAUUUAAUAUAUAUUAUAAAAUUAAAUAGUUUGGUAACAUCCAGGUUUUUCCAAAUUUGUUUAAAAAACACCACCCAAAUAUUUAAUAUGGUAUGCGCCUGUUUGGGAUCCCUAUUAUAAUUUUCCCACUUUUUUUCUAACAAAUUUAUUAUAUCGCCUGGUAUAUUUUUCAAAAAAUUAAUAUAUUGGGAUACCGAAAUUGUUUUAACGUUUAUAUAUAAUACCGCCUGGAUAAUAACCAACGGUAAAUAUAUUAGAAAUUUCAAAAAUUUGAACAUAUUUUGCUCGGUAUUGUUUAUAGGUUUUAUUACGAAAAAGUUUUUCAACAAUUUUUUGGCUUCGUUUUCGUUCGUCCAUUUAAAAUUAAUUAUUUCGUUUUGGGCAAAUUGGUAUGCGAUAUACCGAUAUCGAAUUGUAAAUAAAAUCUUUUUUCGGUCCGAGCGAAAAAGAAAAUUACGUAUAUUAUCUUUUUUAUUACCUAACAAAGUUUUAUUAUCGAUAUUAUCGACAACGAAAAACCAACGGCCGGCCGCGACAAAAUUAAAAUAUUUUUUAACCAAUUUUUUCGCAUCGUUCUGUUUUACCGCGUUUGGGAAUAGCAAUUUAAUUAUAUUUUUGCAUAAUUUUUCGAAAUUUGCCAUAUUAAAGGCCUAUAUCCAAAAAACGAAUUAUCCUGGAAUAUUAUUUUUAACCCAAAAAACUAUUUCGAGGGCCAAUUGCGUUUUGCCGACGCCACCGAGUCCAAACAAUCCGAUACGCUGGUGGUUAUAAUUAUCGCCGAUAAAUCGUUUGCCCGUUGGGUCGUUAAUAAAUUCGGUUCGUCCGACGAAAUUGCGGUUUUUGUACAGUUGGGAAUAUUACGGGCUAAUUUUAAUAAAUUUUUUGGGGGGGGGGGGGGCUGCUGACAGUAAGGGUUAAUAUAUAUACCGAUUUUAAAUACGUAAUAUAAACUCUUAUAAUUAGGGCUAACUGAAAUAAAAAACAGUAUACGCAAAGGACCGAGGGAUGGAAAAAUGUUUUUUUUUAUCGUAUAUUUUAUUAACCUGGUUGCUAAUAAGGAGCCCAAUAUUCCAAAAACGCUUUCGUGCACGCCGCGGCGGUUAUUGCUGCAUAUAAUUACUAUAUUUUGGUUUUGUAAUUAUCCCUAUAAUCGUACGUACCUUUAAUAAUUAUAUAUGGAAAAUUAUCCCAUAUUCCGGAUCUUUCCAUUUCGGAAUUUAUUAGCCCAUUUGGCGUCGUAAAAACGGAACGAUUUUCGCUGGAUUUAAUAAUAUUAUUAUUUAAUUUAAUAAUGCCGAAAUGCAUUAUAAAUAUAAGGUUCGCGAUAUUUGGAUAAAACCGGGUACGUUUUAUUUUUUUUAAUAUAUCGCAGCAAAUUUUGCAUAUUUUAUCGUUAUUUACGUGGCGGUAUUUUGGCGGGAAAAAAAAAUCGUUUUCCUUACCGGGGUAUUUGUAUUUUGGAUUAUUUCCAUUUUGCAACAAUUCCAAAUAUUUGGCCAUUUGUUUUUGGAAUUAUUUCCGGUAAAACCGACUUUUAAAUUUUUGCAAUAAAUUACGUAUUUCCUAAUUCGGUUUGUUUUAUAUAUUAAAAAAUAUAUUUUUACGUACGAACUAAUUUGCAUAUUGGCGGCCAAAAUCGUAUUAAAUAAUAGUUUCGCUAAUAAUAAUAUCGCCAAAUACCCUUUUGUUUUUAUUAAAGGUUAGUAAAGGGGAUACGACGUUAACAAAUCGUGCAAUAUAUAAAAAUAUAAAACGGCAGAAAAUAUACGAGGGGUUAGGGAGAACGUAAUACCAAAAAUUGGUUAUACAAACUUUAAUUAUAAAAUAAGUAAAAUUAAAAAAAAAAAUUGGUCGGGUUAUAUAGAAAAAAUUAAAUAUAAAGGAUAAAAAAUGGUAUUUAAAAAUUUAAAAAUAUAUUAAAAAUAGGUCCCGGUGGAUAAAAUAUUUUUAAUUUAAAAUACGCACCAAAUCGGUGCAUAUAAUGCGAAAAGAAAAAACCGACAAUAUAAAAAAAAACAGGGAAAAAUAAAGGUGGGGAAGGAAAUUUAACGGAUGGGGAAACCCAUAUUAAAAUAUUGGGCGCUUAUUAGUAUAUUCCGAUUUAAUAAAAAUUUAACCGCAAUUAUUUUUCGGAUUUCUUUUGGUGGUGUGGUAAUAUUAUCCGUUUCCUACCAUAUAAUAUAUGAGCUUUUUGUUAUAAUGCAAUACCCUAUAAUAAAAAAAUAAAUAAUUGGGGGGCGGAACAGGUCGUUGUGGACCCCACCCAUAAUAUAACCUCGUUAAAUGAAGUUUUUUAUAUUGGUAAUGCAAUAAAUGGGGUUUAGGACAGAUUUCGAAUUGGGGUAUUUGUUUUGUAACGUUGUGGUUAAUAUAAAAUGCGCCCUAUAUUUUGCAUAAUUUUGAUAAUAUUUGUACGCCUUAUUUUAAUUGCCGUUCAAAUUUAUCCCCGGUAAACGUUAUUAGCAUUUUUACCUGCUCCAAAUCCUAAACGGUUUGGUCCAUCCAAACCACUUUAUAACAAUUUGGUUUUACAAGGCGCAUUUUUUAAAUUAUUUACAAAAAAUACGAACUUUUCGAAAUUACAAAUUAAUUUUCCAAUUUUGGUGAAAAUAGGGUUGGAAUUAAUAAAUAUAUUAUCGUAUUUAAUUCCUGUUUUAUAUAGCAAUCGUAAUUGGUUUGGACCGAACCCAGAAAUAUAUUGUUCGAUCUUUGGUUUACGUACCCCCUUUAAUAUUUGCCAGGUACGAACUUUAAAAAUUUCGGAAACGUUAUUAUUUUCCAUAUGUUUUUAACGUUUACGCUCCAUUGUAAUAAAAUAUUUAAAUGUAACAAAUACGGAUAAUGGAUAUAUGCAAAAAUUAAGUCCCAAAUUACCUUUAAAAUUAUUCCACCACGCCAAUUACGCCGAACCUGGGUCGCGCAAAGGGAACUAUUAAUCCUAAAUUUAAACGCGUUUUUCCAACGCGUCGGGAAUUGUAAUUUCUUUUUUUUUCCGUUUUAAUUAUUCGUUAAUAAUGCCGAAUAUAUUAAAAUUCCCCAAUGGAUUAUUAGUUAUGGUAAUUUAAAUAGGUUUAUAUGGGAAUUUUUAUAUUUUGCAUUGUUUUGUAAUCCAAAGUGAAAUUUGCCCUAAUACCCCUUUUUUACCUUUAUACAAUGGACCGUAUAUUGGAAUAUUGGGCCUUAUUUUGGGAUUGGGAAAAUAAGGAUAUAUAUUAAACAAUUGUGAAAUGUUUGAUUUGCGUUUUCCUAAAAGUGUUUACGUAGGUAAAGUUAGGGCUUUAUACAGGUUAUUUGUGCAAUUGAACCCCGUUUUAUUUGUUGCAAAUAUCCAUUUUAACGAGGUUUAUAACCAUCCUGCCUAUUUUAUAA